CAGAUAGCUCAGGUCUGAGCGCACAUUAUUAAGCGAAUGGCGCUCAGACCACACGAAUACAGUGUAAUCGCCAUGGAGCCAAAGUCUUUACACAGUCAGUUCUCAUGCGAAUGGGCUCCAUGCAGGGCCGGACUGGGAAUUAAAAGCAGCCCUGGAAAAAAAAUAUUUACCAGCCCCAUAAUGCAUCGCGCCAGCAUAGUGUGCAGAUACAGAGUUAGAACAGAUAACUUAAAAUUAAAAAGUACUUCAACGUAAAAAGCGCUCUCAUAGGCUUCAAAACAAACAAAAGUGCAGAUUUAUUUUAAGCAGACGUGCCUUUGCAUGUAAUCAAUGUUUCAG